CUUGCCCUUCAUUUUAUUUAUUUCUACCGCGCGACGUACACUUGAACUCGGAACGAUUUGAAAAAUUACAAGAGAAUCCCAUGCCCAAAAUUUCUAGAUAUACAAUUGGCUCGGAGGAAUUGGUGCCUUCGCUCGCCAAUAUUUCAAACAUGGUUUUAAACGAUGUAAAUACUCGAGCUAUAUCGAGGUGAUGAUUGUAAAUAUAUUUUUAAAGUAUGCACAGUCCCAGAGAUAUUACUCGAUAUACGACGAAGUAAAUAAGUACAGACACGCAAUUUUACUGCCAAUUUUAGACAGAAAUACCAUCGACACUUGGAUAAUUGCGUUAACUACAAGAUCAACCGUGAAAAUGAAAAUUUCCUUGCCACGUGAUCGCGUGAUAGGUACUAUAUACUCGUAAAAAUAUUUACGAGCACGCGUAAGGUGAAAUGGAGAAGCGGACUUGCAAAAUGAUACGCAACGCAAGCUUUCUUUUUCUGACAUGUCCGAUCGAUCCUCCCAAUAUAUAUAAUCGAAUGUGCCUGCAUGGUAUUUAAAAAAAAAUAUAAUCGACACUUCGCAUGAUACUUUGUCGCAUUUCCCCAGUCUUUGAGUUUGUCACCUGCAGCAUUCUGCAAGGCAAUAAUUCCACUCUUUCUGUUUUUUUUUUUUUUCUUCUCUCUCCCCUCUCCCUCCCACGUAAUAUAGCGUUUUCUGUGUAGCCUGAUGCACGUGCCCAAGAAAGAAAACUUGGAACUCGAUAGAGCUCGAAAUUCUCACAUUGAUUUCAUGCGUCCUAUAGUUCUUCUCUCACUAUUUGCCCUUUCUAGCUCUUCUGACAAUAAGCAACUCAAGAUAAAGCUAAAGUGUAGAGGGACCAGCAAAUCGUAAUUUUGUUUAGUCACGUUAGGAUUGUUAGGCGAAUCGUCAUAUUCGAGCAGAUCCGAUGAAACGGAAUUCUUCCCACCGCUUUUCGGAAGGGUGCUACAUUCACGCUACCCUUCCCGGUUCGAGAUGCAGCUUGUCAAUGCGGAAUGUACAUCUUUCUUUUAGAGCUAGAUUCUCUGAAAACGCUCCGACCUUUAGAGUUUGCAGAAACUAUGUGUUGUUCGCUCGUGGGCUGAACGACCGCACAUGAGAUCGUGUUCGUUCGUCAAAUGCACUUCGGAAAUUGUGACUCCGUGCAAGUUUUACACGACGCACCUGCGACGAUCCGUGACUUUCCUUCCGAUCCGAGCUUGACGUUUCACAAUUUCACAACGAUUCUUUUCUACGAAUUUAGUAAUUAAAUUUAAAGAAAAAAAAAGUUACAGAAAUUUGUUACAACAGCUAAUUAAAAGCAACGAGAGAAUAUUUAUUUUUUUCUUUUAGAGUUUUUCAAAUCUUUUAUCGUGGUCACGAAAUUGAAAAUAACAUUUGAAUUGAAAAUUUCUGGCCGUUUAUCGUGGAAGGAGUGGGAAAUGUUCGGAAGAAAAGUGCCGGAGGGACGCGAAGAGCACAUGAGAAUGCACAAUAAACGUUGAUACAAUAAGCUGAUACA